UUACAGGGAACAACAGCCCUUCAACAGAGCAGAAGUACUCGCCCCUGAACUUUUCUCAUCUGCCCAGCACAGAGCAUUGAGAAUCAGCUGCCAUCACCUCACCUCCACCCUCCCCUUGGUCUCCAUUCAGGAAGGCACUGACCUUGGGCACCAGGACAGACAUUCCCAAAGAAAUUGUGUAAACAAGCCUCCUCAGAACCUUCUAUCCUUUGAAGUUCUCACUCCCCAUCCCCUACCACAGCCCGUGCCAUUGUUAAGUUGAUGCAUGAACCUUUACCUCUGGUUACUCAGUGGGUUACUCAUUACACAGUGCUCCUGCACUCAGUGUGUGCACAAACUUUGUCUUUUCUCCUGCUAAUCUGGCCCCUACCCCCACCCCUGGAACCUAAGUGGGUAGAGGAGAAAUUUUUCCUCCCAACACUCUUACAUCAAAGAAAUCCCCAGGGGCUGUCAGCGGGAAGUUCUGAGCCCUGCGCACUGAGUUUGCUCUCUGGUCAAAGGAACUUUCCCUGAGAACAACCACCUCAGCAGGGGAGCUGCCCCAGGGAGUCACAGCCCCAGCCCUGGGUACAGGACUCAGACCUUUUUGGACAGAAAUCUACGUCCCCAUGAAAUGCUGCUAUGUGGUCCUGAAAGAUAAGAUGGGUGAAUUCUCCAUCCCGAUGAUGCCAAGUCAGUUUCCUCAGAACAUCUGGUGCAGCUGGACCAUCUGGGCUGGCCCCCAGAGCUGGACUGUUGUCCAUGUCAACGGGUUUAUGGUCACAGGAAGGGAUGACUGUGGGGCAAACCUGGAUCAGACUGCAUCUCGAGGAUCUCCCCUGUGGUAGAAUGUGGCAUGGUCCACACUGUUGAAAGAAAAGGGUGCCCGUCUGUGCCCUGCAAGCGCUGGCUGUGCAUGGGCUCCUGCUGUCUCGGAACUAUGCUCGAGGUGGGAGAUGCAAGCCUUUCAGAGGGAAGUGUUAUGUCUUCCGUGAUUGCAGAGCAGAUUUACGGAAAAAGUUCAUGAAGCCUCAGGUUACACAGUCUCCCAGCCCGUUUCUAAGACCUUCCUGCAAACCCACUGUUAGCUCCCCUGGACCAGAGACUCAAACAGAAAAGAAACAGCGUUUCCAGAACUUCUGUGCCCCAUCUGGUUUAGCCAAGCUCCUUCUUGUUACUCACCCAUUCUGUGGGAGACGGCAUCCUGGCCACCAAAUCACUAUAGAGGCCAUCAACACCGAACCUUCACACUCCACCCAGCGGCCUUUGAGGCUGCCACAGGGUGGUAGGCACUGGUGGACGGCUGGUCUCUGCCAUGGGAAGUUGAUAGAAGGGUGCGCGAGAGAGCCACGGAUGGCCACAUGCAGCAAGACAAAUGCCAUGUGUAACUGCUGUCAGCCCCAGGACUGGGGCUCCAAGCGCGACCAGAGGAAAGAGGAGUUACGGGAGGAGCAGGAGGGAAGCUUCUGGAGGUGGUGACAUAUGAAUGGAGAGCCUCCUGGGAAGUCAGUAGCUUUGUUCCUUAAGAACAGCCUAAGGUACCCAGCUGGCGGUCUCUGGAUGCCUCUGGAAGGUCUGCCUUUGCACUGGCCGUUAAAUGCUGUGGCCCAGAAAUGAACUCAUGGGCUGGAAGUAGUCACACAAGCAUGCUCCACACCAGAGGGUCAGGAAGCACAAUUCUACUUCCUACAGGUGUCUGGGGAGGGAAGAGCUGGAAACACCAAGCAGCCCCAAAGUCAGCAAUAGGAGUUGCCUGAGUUGGUCUUUUCAGGUUUCAGAACGGUUCAUACUGCAAAGCUCUGAGACUUUGACUUGAGAUUGUUUUAAUCUUUUAGUGGGUUUGAGGGCCACAUAAACUUGGUUUCAUGGCCUUAUUUGUCUUCUCUGGCCUGGAGAGCUAACACUGUGUUUAUUUCCUCAAAAGUCUCUUUUUAGUCACUAUCAAGGGGCAGCUUUGAAGGAUAGAGGGUAACUGGGGUUAGGAGCUGAGAUCUUGUAUCACAGACAUGGCUAUUUUAACACUGUUUAGAGAACGCAAAUUUGGGUCACAUUAACAGAAGUAAAAGAUGCAGAUCAAGGGAGGGGACAGUGUUCUUUAUUUUGCUGUGGUUAUACCCAGCCUGACACAGCUCUGUUCUGAGUAUCAUACUUUGAAGGCAGCUUUGACAAGCUUUGUCAAGCUGGAACCCAGAAGGGGUAUCAGGGGAUUCGGGAGUCUGGAAGUUUAUUGAAAGGGGUAACUUGGCAGCUGCUGUAUUUGAAAAGAUGUCAGUUUUUGUUUUACUGGUAAGGAACUUACCUCCCUGUAUUUCAACAGAUUGGACUGCAUUGUGGACAGCAUACUCAUUACUGUAAGUGAUGAAAGAAAGCUGGAGAAGGAAGUUUGAGCCUCCAAACCAAGGAUGGAAGAAUGGUUGUAGAAGGCAGCCUCCCCAGUCCUUUCUGACUCUGUCAUGUUAUCUCUCUGGUUCAGUUUUUUUUUUUUUUCUCAGAAAUAAAGCUUUCCUCAUGGGGGCCAGUUCAGUUCAGACUCCACUAUAUGAAACACUGCUGCUUACGAACGCUCUGGUGCUAAUCCCUCAAGGAUCCUGAAACUGGUGGUAGGAUCUCCAUUUUACAGGUGAGGUGGCUGAGGCCGAGGCUGAAGAAAGUCAGGCACACAUACAGUCUUACAAGGUGUUUUGGUUUAAGUGUAGAGUUUGGGGCCACACAGCUUGGGUUUGAAUCCUGCUUCUGUGGUUUUCUAGCUGUGUGACCUUAGGUAAGUCAUUUAACCUCUCUGUUUUAGCCUCUGUAAAAUGGAAAUGAUAUGACCUCAUAGGGUUGUAAGGGUUAACCAACUUAA